rnacentral:rRNA from 1 species
AUACGGAGGGGGCUAGCGUUGUUCGGAUUUACUGGGCGUAAAGCGCGCGUAGGCGGUUUAACAAGUUGGGCGUGAAAGCCCGGGGCUCAACCCCGGAUGUGCGUCCAAAACUGUUAAGCUAGAGUCCGGUAGAGGGUGGUGGAAUUCCCAGUGUAGAGGUGAAAUUCGUAGAUAUUGGGAAGAACACCAGUGGCGAAGGCGACCACCUGGUCCGGUACUGACGCUGAGGUGCGAAAGCGUGGGGAGCAAACAGGAUUAGAAACCCCAGUAGUCC